rnacentral:rRNA from 1 species
CCUACGGGAGGCAGCAGUGAGGAAUAUUGGUCAAUGGACGAGAGUCUGAACCAGCCAAGUAGCGUGAAGGAUGACUGCCCUAUGGGUUGUAAACUUCUUUUAUAUGGGAAUAAAACGUUCCACGUGUGGGAUUUUGUAUGUACCAUAUGAAUAAGGAUCGGCUAACUCCGUGCCAGCAGCCGCGGUAAUACGGAGGAUCCGAGCGUUAUCCGGAUUUAUUGGGUUUAAAGGGAGCGUAGGUGGAUUGUUAAGUCAGUUGUGAAAGUUUGCGGCUCAACCGUAAAAUUGCAGUUGAAACUGGCAGUCUUGAGUACAGUAGAGGUGGGCGGAAUUCGUGGUGUAGCGGUGAAAUGCUUAGAUAUCACGAAGAACUCCGAUUGCGAAGGCAGUUCACUGGACUGCAACUGACACUGAGGCUCGAAAGUGUGGGUAUCAAACAGGAUUAGAUACCCCUGUGUC